rnacentral:rRNA from 1 species
UACGGAGGGAGCUAGCGUUGUUCGGAAUUACUGGGCGUAAAGCGCACGUAGGCGGCUUUGUAAGUUAGAGGUGAAAGCCCGGAGCUCAACUCCGGAACUGCCAUUGAAACUGUGAGACUUGAGGACGAGAGAGGUGAGUGGAAUUCCCAGUGUAGAGGUGAAAUUCGUAGAUAUUGGGAAGAACACCGGUGGCGAAGGCGGCUCACUGGCUCGUAUCUGACGCUCAGGCGCGACAGCGUGGGGAUCAAACAGG